rnacentral:rRNA from 1 species
AGGACGAACGCUGGCGGCGUGCUUAACACAUGCAGGUCAAGGGGGCCCAGCAAUGGGCAACCGGCGAACGGGUGGCGUAACACGUGAGCAACCUACCGAACUGUGGGGGAUAGCCGGCCUAACGGCCGAGUAAUACCGCAUACGCUCUCAGUGAGGCAUUUCAUUGAGAGGAAACCUACGGGACAGAUCGAGGGGCUCGCGGCCUAUCAGCUAGUUGGCGAGGUAACGGCUCACCAAGGCAACGACGGGUAGCUGGUCUGAGAGGAUGGCCAGCCACAUUGGACUGAGAUACGGCCAGACUCUACGGAGGCAGCAGUGGGAAUCUUGCGCAAUGGCUAACGGCUGACGCAGCGACGCCGCGUGUGGGAAUGAAAGCUCUUCGGAGUGUAAAACCACUGUUGCCCGGGACGAACAAGCUCCGAUUAAAUCGAGCCUGACGGUAACCGGUGAGGAAGCACCGGCUAAACGUCCGUGCCAAGGCAAGCCGCGGUAAA